rnacentral:rRNA from 1 species
GCAGUAGCCACGGGAAUACGGAGGAUCCAAGCGUUAUCCGGAAUCAUUGGGUUUAAAGGGUCCGUAGGCGGUCUUGUAAGUCAGUGGUGAAAGCCCAUCGCUCAACGGUGGAACGGCCAUUGAUACUGCAGGACUUGAAUUAUUGGGAAGUAACUAGAAUAUGUAGUGUAGCGGUGAAAUGCUUAGAGAUUACAUGGAAUACCAAUUGCGAAGGCAGGUUACUACCAAUUGAUUGACGCUGAUGGACGAAAGCGUGGGUAGCGAACAGGAUUAGAUACCCGCGUAGUCCCUGUCUCUUAUAC